rfam:Atopobium vaginae DSM 15829 Contig27.fasta, whole genome shotgun sequence.
GGGGACGUAGCUCAGUUGGGAGAGCGCGGGCUUUGCAAGCCUGAGGUCGUGGGUUCGACCCCCAUCGUCUCCA